rnacentral:rRNA from 1 species
GACAGAGGGUGCAACCGUUGUUCGGAAUUACUGGGCGUAAAGCGAGUGUAGGCGGUUUGGUAAGUCGGAUGUGAAAGCCCCGGGCUCAACCCGGGAAGUGCACUCGAUACUGCCAAGCUAGAGUAUCGGAGAGGUUGGUGGAAUUCUCGGUGUAGAGGUGAAAUUCGUAGAUAUCGAGAGGAACACCGGUGGCGAAGGCGGCCAACUGGACGAAUACUGACGCUGAGACGCGAAAGCGUGGGGAGCAAACAGG